UACGUAGGGGGCGAGCGUUGUCCGGAGUGACUGGGCGUAAAGAGCUCGUAGGCGGCCUGCUAAGUCGAACGUGAAAUCCCCGGGCUCAACCCGGGAACUGCGUCCGAUACUGGGAGGCUUGAAUCCGGGAGAGGGAUGUGGAAUUCCAGGUGUAGCGGUGAAAUGCGUAGAUAUCUGGAGGAACACCGGUGGCGAAGGCGGCAUCCUGGACCGGUAUUGACGCUGAGGCGCGAAAGCCAGGGGAGCAAACGGG
rnacentral:rRNA from 1 species